UAAUUUGCAUGGCUGACAUGAGCUUUCCCUCCUCCUCUCUGGAGCUGGUUUUAAGUAGGUCACAUCCAGCAGAGCAGAGGGAAGAAAUAAAGACCUUAGAGAGAGGCACCCUUGGUGCUGGACUGUAGAGUGCUCUGUGGUUUCCAGUAUGCAGGAGCUGACUUGGGCAGGAGUUUUUCUGAAUUCUUAAUAGUUUGGGCCAUGUUUUCAAGAUCACUCUGUCAAGUUCCAGAUGGGUUCAUCUGCAGCUUGGAUCUGUUACCUUUCUUGUCCUGUUGGAGAACUCCAAUUUUCCAGUGGGAGUUGGCCCAAAGAAAAAGCUGGCUGAAGCUGGGAUAGGGCUCUUCAGCAGGAUUAGCUCUGUGGACAUGAGCCAGUCUAAUCAGGAAGGCUGUAAAGUGUGCAGUACUUAUAAGUGGCUCUACGGGAGCUGUUGAGGUUCUGUGGAUUUUUUGUAAAUCAGCGAAAGCACACAUAAUUCUAGGAUGGGGGCUUUGCAUUGUCAAGAUCAUCAUUUAUGUUGUAUAAGUAAUAACACAUACACAGUGAGAUUAAUUCCAUUUGAAAAAGCAGUAUCUUUCCCAAUACAUUUUUCUUUUCAUAUUGUCUGUGUUUGUGUGUAUAACUUAAGCUCCAGCUACUGGUUCACUACCUUACUGUGGCAGUUUAUAUCCAUAACACACCCCACACAAAUGUUUAUUACCAUAUUAUUGUAUGAUGGUACUGGCUCUUAAUCAUUUGUUAACAUGGUAAAAUCAAGUGUGUAAGAUAUGUACCUGUAUCAGAAGUAAUGUAAGGAAUUGAAUUUCACCUCUACAAAUAAGUUGUUUUUAAUAUUAAGAAUGGCACUAAACUCUAUUAACUUUAUUAAUUAUGUGCAUGCAUAUCACUUUGUUCUCAGUGAAGCAAGACAGCAUUUAGAGGAAGGUGGAAGUUUCUAUUGGAUCAAUCAGUCUGAACUUGUCAUUGUUCAUUCCCAAGUCUUUGUGUUGAAGGGAAAAUUGUCCUUCUUCUCCCCCCAGACUGGCAUAUUGAUUGCUUCAGUACAAUGAAGGCAUUAAUCAAAGGAAAUUAAGUCUGAGGUUGUGAAGUACUGAGCUUCUCACUGCAACAAUUCCGCUCCUCUUUGUGCUCAUACAUGACUGCAGCUCUGCCCAUGCCAAAGCUGCACCAACAGAAACAGAA